UACAGAGGUCCCGAGCGUUGUUCGGAUUCACUGGGCGUAAAGGGUUCGUAGGUGGCGAGGUAAGUCGGAUGUGAAAGCUCGGAGCUCAACUCCGAAAUGGCAUUGGAAACUACCUUGCUCGAGGGUUGGAGGGGGGACUGGAAUGCUUGGUGUAGCAGUGAAAUGCGUAGAUAUCAAGCGGAACACCAGUGGCGAAGGCGAGUCCCUGGACAACUCCUGACACUGAGGCACGAAAGCUAGGGGAGCAAACAGG
rnacentral:rRNA from 1 species